UCAAAUGGUAGAUAACCUUUAGUUCUUUAAGGAAUCUCCAUACUGUUUUCCAUAGUGGUUGUAACUGCAGAAGCAUAUGCUCAUCGAGAACAUGGCUUCAGAUUCCUCAAUAGUUGAUGAAAUAUUGGGGUGGGAUGGGUUUGUGUGCCCAUGGGUGCUCAAGCCUCCUUACAUGGCUAAUGCAGAUGGACAUAGAGCUUGAGGCAGCCUGGUCUCUUUUCCUGAGCUGGCUGAUUUCAAUACAAUGAACCAAGGUCUCUGAUCUUGAAGCUGGUCCCGCCAGACACCCCACCUUCAGCCACCAUCUGCUGUGUGCCUCCUAUAUCCUGUGGGGCCCAUGGCAACCCGCAUGACAGUGAGGGGGCACAAGGCACUGGACCUGUGGGCCUGGGGAAGACAAAAACACUUUUCUGUUUCUCCCAAACUUUCAAGUGUGUUGUCAGGUAUUUAAUUUUGAUUAUGACUGAGAUGAUAUGUUCAUGUAUUUACAGCUAUUUAAAUAUAAUAUUUUUUGCAAACUGUGGGAUAAUGUCUUUCACUUUUUUUUUCAUUUUUCCUCCUCAUCUGUGCACAGAUGGGUGGCCGACUCUGGAGCCCAGCCUGUCGCUUCCCAGUCUGGUGGUGAAUCCUCCAUAGUCUAGUGUGGAGGAAAAGUUAAAUAUUAAAUUUGAACUUAAUUGAACCUGGACACAAACAAUGGUCACCAAGUCCUGGAACAGCUUGUAUGAGCCCCUUGAGGCAUUCAUCCAGAGCUGUUUCAGAGAAAUCUCUAUUUCAAUCUAUUCCUAUACAUUCGUUAUUGUAAAACAAUAGAGAAGCACAAAAACAAGUUGACCUUUUUGUGUUCCUUGAGCCCAGUAGUGAAAGGCCCUUGUGACUAAGCCCCAUGCCUAAAAACUCAUUACAAAAGAGCUAGGGUCCCAGAUUGCACCAAAGCUUCGUGAGACCUCUCCUCAUCUGCAUGGACGAGUGGCCGGCUCUGGAGCCCAGGUUGUUUCUUCCCAGUCUGGUGGUGUAAAUAUAUACAGUCUGGAAUAACCUAUCUAUUAAUGGUCAGCACCUGUGUCUUUGUGUCUGAGGCCAAGAAUAAAUUCAUCACCUUGGUAGCCACUGCUGCAACUGAAGUCAACCACAAUCAAUGAUGGCUGUAUGUUGAGUUGCCGGAGGCCGCCUGGAAUGUGUUACCUUGCAGAAUUGUCCCUGACAACAUUUCUGAAUGGCUAUGUAGUUACCAAUAGGGCCACAACAACAACACUCACAAUCCAAUCUGGACUUCUUUGACCACAUUAAGCAAUCUAUCUUUGCCAAGUCAGACAAAAGAUGAACUCCACCCUCACCUUGCGUCGAAAGCCUUGGUAUCCUGCCCAAUAUUCCUGGAAUGGUACCUACUGAAAACCUGCUAUGCUGGUGGCUGGAUUCCAUACAGCCCUUGCUUUGUCUGGAGGCGUUAAAUGGCUCCUCUAAUGUUUCUCUGGGGUUUCUCCAGACAUUUGUCAACACAUACUCCCAAUCAACAACAUUGCCCCCAGUGAAUCACAAUCUCUUUCCUAUUUUAAUAAGACAUUAGUACAUUAUUAUUACAGUAGCUCCAUUACUGUCCCCUGGCGGGCCCUCUGAGUAUGCAGAUCCUGUGGAUGGUGAUACCAGUCCCUGCAUUGGAUGGGGAGAUACACUUGGGGUUGGCCAUUUAUUACAUUUACCACCCAGGUUAAUAUUCCCCUCCCCAGUAAUCUUGAUGCUUACAAACACUGCUGGUUACAAAUACGCUGGCCUCCCUGGUGGUGGUACCCUAUCACAGUAUUCUCCCCUGCUGCUGGUACAAUCCUGCUUCAGCAACAGAUUAAAAUAUUUACCUUACAUGUAGAAAAAGCUCUUAAUGAUAGUAGCACUGGACUUAUGUUGUUAUCAGAUGAAUUUUCUCAGCUGAGUACUAUUGUGUUGCAAAAUCAAAUGGCAUUAAAUAUACUUACGGCAGCCCAAGGAGGGAUUUGCACCUUACCGCAUACUGAAUGUUGUGUGUAUAUCCCUGGCAGUUCUCACAAUAUGACUCUCCUUGCAAAGCCAUGCUGGGUGUGGUUUUUAUUAAUUGUGCUUUUAAUUCUCACGUGCUUACCCUUGAUCUGUAAUCUAUAUCAAUUAUGCAUUCCCCAUGAAUCUGUGAGGGUAUUUUCCUACAUUUGAGUAUCCAAGCGAGGUCAAAUGUGGAGGAAAUGUUAAAUAUCAAAUUUGAACUAAAUUAAACGUGGACACAAACAAUGGUCACCAAGUCCCGGCACAGGUUGUGUGAGCCCCUUGAGGCAUUCAUCCAGUGCUGUUUCAGAAAAAAAUCUCUAUUCCAAUCUAUUCCUAUACGUUAGUUAUUGAAAAACAAUAGUCACAAAAACAAGUUAACAUUUUUGUGUUCCUUGAGCCCAGUCGCAAAUGGCCCUCAGGACAGGGCCUCAUGCCAAACAACUUGUUACAAAAAGAGAUUCCACGACCACACCAAGGCUUCAAGAAACCUCUGCUUAUUUGUGUACGGACUUGGCUGGGAGCCCAGGUUGUUGCUUCCUGGUGUGGUGACGAAUCCUCCCUAGUCUGAUGAGUGUAAAUAUAUCUGACCCUUUUGAACAAGGUUCUUUGCUAUUGCUUUAUGACCCCACCUCCUACCUCCAGCGAAAAUGUCCUUGGCACUGUCUCUUCCCAUCAGAGAGACACCACUGAUUGUGGUGUGAUGGGACACAUGUUCCUGGUGGUGGCACCAGCAUAUAUUAGAUGUGCUUGGGCUGAACACCAAAGAGCUACGACAGGCUGUUACAUAGAAUAUUAUGAGGACUACAUAUUUUUAAAUAGAGUGAACUAUGGACCACAUAGUUUGGUUUUGUACAUUUACUUAUAUAUUUUCCCUUGUCCCUUUCCCAUUGCAAUUUGCUUAUGAUAUCAAUUUGCUUAUUAUAUCUGCAUUGCCAUUUACGUGGGAUAAAGCUUGUUUACACUUAA